rnacentral:rRNA from 1 species
CGGUGUUCAACUGGCGUGCCCGCGGGACGUCCUGCCGGUGAGCUCAGCCCCGCGAGGGCGGCUCAACUUGAAAUCCCAUCGCGGUGCUCUUCAUUGAGUGUCGAGGUGGGCCGGCACGAUUACUUUUGAACAAAUUAGAGUGCUUAAAGCAGGCUAAAAUUUUGCCUGAAUACUGUGUAUAUGGAAUAAUGGAAUAGGACCUCGGUUCUAUUUUGUUGGUUUUCGGAACCCCCGAGGUAAUGAUUAAUAGGAACGGAUGGGGGCAUUCGUAUUGCGACGUUAGAGGUGAAAUUCUUGGAUCGUCGCAAGACGGACUAAAGCGAAAGCAUUUGCCAAAAACGCUUUCAUUGAUCAAGAACGAAAGUUAGAGGUUCGAAGGCGAUCAGAUACCGCCCUAGUUCUAACCAUAAACUAUGCCAGCUAGCGAUCCGCCGACGUCCCUCUGAUGACUCGGCGGGCAGCUUCCGGGAAACCAAAGCUUUUGGGUUCCGGGGGAAGUAUGGUUGCAAAGCUGAAACUUAAAGGAAUUGACGGAAGGGCACCACCAGGAGUGGAGCCUGCGGCUUAAUUUGACUCAACACGGGAAACCUCACCAGGCCCAGACACUGGAAGGAUUGACAGAUUGAGAGCUCUUUCUUGAUUCAGUGGGUGGUGGUGCAUGGCCGUUCUUAGUCGGUGGAGCGAUUUGUCAGGUUAAUUCCGAUAACGGACGAGACUCUGACCUGAUAACUAGACGCACUUGCGGCAUCUCAAAGGUCCGCCGGCGGCUGGCUUUGCGCCCGUCGUCGCGCGCGAUUUUUACUGCCGGCGUACAAUAAAUUCUUCUUAGAGGGACAAGUGG